CAGCCGCCGCGGUAAUACGGAGGGGGCUAGCGUUGUUCGGAAUUACUGGGCGUAAAGCGCACGUAGGCGGCUUGGUAAGUUAGAGGUGAAAGCCCAGGGCUCAACCCUGGAAUUGCCUUUAAGACUGCCGAGCUAGUAGGUGAUAGAGGUAAGUGGAAUUCCGAGUGUAGAGGUGAAGUUCGUAGAUAUUCGGAAGAACACCAGUGGCGAAGGCGGCUUACUGGCUCAUUCUAGACGCUGAGGUGCGAAAGCGUGGGGAGCAAACAGGAUUAGAUACCCGGGUAGUCCUGUCUCUUAUACC
rnacentral:rRNA from 1 species